UUACCUCGCAGUCCUCGUACUUGAUAUUAUCCGUCAGUUUCCAAAGCAUUUUCAUGGAUCGGCGUGAACGGAUUUGCCCCCUUCUCCGCCUCGCACCCAAGUGGAGCUACUCUCUGGCUCUUUACCAACAGCCUAAUCGCCUCAUUAGCAUAUCAACAAUAGUCCAAUUGCUCGCCAGCACCGCAAUCUGCGGCCGGCCGUUCCGACCCAGGUAUAAAGGCCUCUCCAAGCCGCGAACUUGCUCCUAGAGCGCACGCCUGCCUGUGAGCGGACGGAAUCUCCCCGGAGACCAGCCGCGCGCCCCUGCCCCAGUCACCCCCCAGCCCCCGCCGCUGCCCCAUUCCACCCCACUCCCCUUCCUCUCCGUCUCCUCCUCCAGGGAGAUGCCCUCCGCAACAACAACGACAACAACAAAAAACCUGCGCUGUGCAGGGUCCGAGCGGCUGCGCCUGGGGCCCAGCUUUCAGCACCUCUCCCUCACCCCUACCACCGCUAACCGCGCGGUCCUUUCGGCCCCGUCCAAUUUUAUUAGAAAUUAUUAUCCCUUUCGCAAUUAAAUAUAAUCACCAAACCAAGACCGGCAAAGUCACUCCAGGAUUUUUGCCCAACAAGAGAUCGCCUCCGCUCGCGGCAGCCUCCACCUCGGGCCCCAGCGCCUUGGGAGUUUUAUUGGCUUUGCGCUCCCCCCACCCCACCCCCAAGUUGAAGAUUUUGCCAAACGGCUCCAGUGGCUCGGCUGGGGUUUGCGAUCCUUUAAUUGCCGCGUGUAAAAUAAAAAUUGUACCCUGAAGAGGUUAGUUGACAGCUCCAGGGGUUAAAUGAUUUUCCUCUCGUUUGUAUGAAGCUAGAGCUGACUGAUAAUUCAACGUGGUGUUUGGGCUAAGGGUUUCCUAGGUGCGAUGUGGACAAAAUACAGAACUCCUAUGGAGUCUCACAGUCGCUUCUGGAGUUGAGCCGAUAUACCGACAUGUGUGCGCCGUGUCAUUCAUGCAUCAAAAUAAAUCGCUGGGAACCAA